CGGUAAUACAGAGGGUGCAAGCGUUAAUCGGAUUUACUGGGCGUAAAGCGCGCGUAGGCGGCUAAUUAAGUCAAAUGUGAAAUCCCCGAGCUUAACUUGGGAAUUGCAUUCGAUACUGGUUAGCUAGAGUGUGGGAGAGGAUGGUAGAAUUCCAGGUGUAGCGGUGAAAUGCGUAGAGAUCUGGAGGAAUACCGAUGGCGAAGGCAGCCAUCUGGCCUAACACUGACGCUGAGGUGCGAAAGCAUGGGGAGCAAACAGGAUUAGAUACCCUGGUAGUCCAUGCCGUAAACGAUGUYUACUAGCCGUUGGGGCCUUUGAGGCUUUAGUGGCGCAGCUAACGCGAUAAGUAGACCGCCUGGGGAGUACGGUCGCAAGACUAAAACUCAAAGGAAAUUGACGG
rnacentral:rRNA from 1 species